GGGACGAUAGCUCAGUUGGGAGAGCGUGCGACUGAAGAUAAUCUUCAGUCUUGACUUCGCAAGGUCGCUGGUUCGAUCCCGGCUCGUCCCA
rfam:Penicillium antarcticum strain IBT 31811 PENANT_contig009, whole genome shotgun sequence.